rnacentral:rRNA from 1 species
AUUGAACGCUGGCGGCAUGCCUUACACAUGCAAGUCGAACGGCAGCACGGGAGCAAUCCUGGUGGCGAGUGGCGAACGGGUGAGUAAUAUAUCGGAACGUGCCCAGUCGUGGGGAUAACGUAGCGAAAGCUACGCUAAUACCGCAUACGAUCUAUGGAUGAAAGCGGGGGAUCGCAAGACCUCGCGCGAUUGGAGCGGCCGAUAUCAGAUUAGGUAGUUGGUGAGGUAAAGGCUCACCAAGCCGACGAUCUGUAGCUGGUCUGAGAGGACGACCAGCCACACUGGGACUGAGACACGGCCCAGACUCCUACGGGAGGCAGCAGUGGGGAAUUUUGGACAAUGGGCGCAAGUCUGAUCCAGCAAUGCCGCGUGCAGGAUGAAGGCCUCGGUUGUAAACUGCUUUUGUACGGUAACGAAACGGUGAGCUCUAAUACA